rnacentral:rRNA from 1 species
CCUCGGGAGGCAGCAGUAGGGAAUAUUGCUCAAUGGGGGAAACCCUGAAUCAGCAACGCCGCGUGGAGGAUGAAGGUUUUCGGAUUGUAAACUCCUUUUGUUAGAGAAGGUAAUGACGGUAUCUAAUGAAUAAGCACCGGCUAACUCCGUGCCAGCUGCCGCGGUAAUACGGAGGGUGCAAGCGUUACUCGGAAUCACUGGGCGUAAAGAGCGCGUAGGCGGGAUAGCAAGUCAGAUGUGAAAUCCUAUGGCUUAACCAUAGAACUGCAUUUGAAACUGUUAGUCUAGAGUAUGGGAGAGGGAGGUGGAAUUCUUGGUGUAGGAGUGAAAUGCGUAGAGAUGAAGAGGAAUACUCAUUGCGAAGGCGGCCUGCUGGAACAUAACUGACGCUGAUGCGCGAAAGCGUGGGGAGCAAACAGGAUUAGAUACCCGGGUAGUC